AGUUUAGUGAUAGCACAGACAGAGGCUGCAGGAGCAGACAGAAGGAUGGAGAGAACUGAUGACAGAUGUAAAAAUUGAAGGAGAGGAAAUGAGGAGUGUUGUUAGAGAGAACGCCAGGAUUCCCAUACAGACUCUGACACUUGAGGCAGCAGCAGUGGAUAGAGGGAGGAAAAAGGGGAGUUACUGACCACAACAGAAGAAGAUAUCUCAUCUCAGCAAGUGGACAGACAGUAUUCCGGUUAGACAAGGACAGAGGAAGCCACCUGUAAUCAAACUCAGAUGCGAUUAAGAGGAGCAAACAUUGCAAGGCAGACUGCUUAGUCUGUUGGGGAAAGUAUGCCUGUGUUUCCUUUUUGUCUCUCUGCUUGACUGUCUAUCCACAGGCUGUCCUUCCAUCUGUCUAGGCAGCAUGCAGAUGCGUCUUUUUGGUGCUGGUGACAAAGGGAAAUGCUGAACAGAUCAUGACAUGUUGUUAGAGAGUGAGGACAAAAAAAGGAGAGGAACAUUUGCAAGCUUCUGGGAGGGAAAGGGAGGAGAGAGGAGAGAGCAGUAUGACUCAGAGCACUGCAACUAGAAUACUGUGCAUUCUGCAUACAAGAGGAGAGGUAGAGGGAGAUAGAGAAGCAAAGAGACAGAUAUAGGGGAAAAAUAGAGAGCACUGACCAGAAUUGAACAGUCAUUAAACAGAGGAAGGACGAGAUGAAGACAGAAGCCACGCUGACAGGCUGUGAGUGAGAUAUAGGCCAAGUGAAUCAGCUCGCUAGAGGGAGGGAAAGGCGAGAAGAAAGUAGAGAAAGUAGAGGGUUUGGUAUGACUGAGGCUGGCUGAGGGGAGGUUGAAGUAAGGUUUGCUGCAGGGUGGACAGAAGACACAGACCAGUGAAGGACAGAAGGACAGGCUUCAUGAAAAACUACUUAAAGGGCAGAAAAUGUGGUGUGACUACGUCUUGCUACAGGGAGAGAAAAUGACUGAGGUUCACAUAUGGGAACACAAGCCUCAAGACAGGAGGAGUUAGCGGAAAGAAAGUGGAAGGUAAAGAGGUAUAGAGGUUAAGAGAAAAUCGAGUCAGACUAGAAGACUACUGAGAGGGGAAAAAGCAGAAAGAGGGCUAAACAGACAACACGGCAGACCAGAGAACAUGUCAUCUAACGUACAACAUCGGAGACUUGACGGGGACUCAACACUGCGAGAGGUUCCUCUUAAAUAUUGAUGCUGACAGGCCACUCUGGAAAGAGUCUGCUCCUUGCACCACAGAGGGAAGAAACACAGCUGAUUUUUUUUCUUUUUCUUUUUUUUUUUUUUUUUUUUUUAAUUCUAAGGGAUUUUACACCAGAAGAAACAGGCUGUGUAAGUGUGUCAUAAGACAGCCGGCUGGGAUGAAGUCGAGACAUUGCCGCAAAUUAAGACAAGACCUACAAAUUAGCAGGGACUCAGUUUCCGGGAGGUUGUUUGGCCAGCUGUGCAAUUUUUCUUGGAGAAAGGGGAAUGACCACAGAAGCAGCAGUGAACUGGACUUUUAUCUGGUGCGGGAACAACAGGAAUAAAGAAAAAUCAAUAUUUGACUUUUCACUGAGACCAUAGCGAGACUAGAACGACUCAUCUUUUGUAGAAGAGUAAGCACAAGCUGUGGUUGAUGGAACUCAUGUUGAACUGACGUCCUGUACUUGCUUCGACAGCCAAUCACACUACUGCCAGAAAAUAAGUCAAAGAUUCCUGAUGGUUUCAUUCAUGUGCCCUUUUUGUGUUUGGUUGUGGACUUAAAACUCUUCCUGAAAAUGACCUCAUCACAGAGCUCCUGCCACUGAAGUCCUGUCAUGGCUUAAGGAGAUAUAAGCACUGAUUGGCUUCCAUGUACAUUAACACAAAGGAUCCUUUAAUAAGAGGCAGGAUCUUUAAUUGAUUUUUGUCUCCAUGACUUAACAAGUCACAAUGGAUGAUUCUGAAACUCACAACCCCUUAAUGUCAUCCAGGCACUGAGAUAGAGACUUUAUUUCGUCUGAUGUGAACCACCCUUUCCUAAAAACACCACAACAGUAACGCAGGAGAACACAACGCCACAGCAGCCUCCAUCCAGCUGCAGCCAGACCAGCUGUGCAUUUAUAUGUGUGUGUGUGUGUGUGUGUAUAGCUGCAUGGGGGUGUAAGGACUGUCGAGGAGAUCAGCUGUGUUUGUGCGAAGGCUUGUGUGGACGUGGGUGUAGGUGUGUGUUCGCGUCGAGCUUUGAACCCAGCUGUGUCUGAGUGUAUUGUCAAAGCAUUGCCAGGAGCUGUGUGUAUGUGCCUCGUCGUGUAUGUGUGUGUGUGUCGCCUGGAUUCUCCCCACCAGCGACAGAGCUGGACCUGAACAGCAGUGCUGAGAGGGGGGACAGGGAGGGGGAGGAAGAGGAAGAAAAGAGGGAGGUGAAGGAAAUCAGUAGGACGGAGGACAAGAAAAAACUGACAACAUGCUCGAAUAAAGAGAAGAAGGAAAGGAGUUUCUGGCUGCCCCCCUGGUGCAAUGUGUGGCGUCACGCCCUAUGGGGGUGGGGUUCUGUGAUGGUAACCAUGGUCCCUGGCAGCCGCUAUGUCUGCAGCGCUCACGCAAGAGAGGAUGACAACACAAAUGACCGUGAGGAACGAAUUUUAGCCGUGCUGGGCAUCAUCGGAACAAUUCUCAAUCUUUUGGUGGUCAUAUUUGUUUACAUCUACACUUCUGUCACCUAAAGCUUUAUACGAGACUCGAACAAGAAACAUUGGCUCAAACUUUUGUACCGCUAUCUCUGCACUGCCACUUCCACUGAGUAUUUACAUAUUUGGAGGGUUUGAUGAUUUAGAGUGAAGAUGGGGAUAUGAGAAUCACUGACAGUGUUCUCAGCUGGAUAGUAGCCAUUUUUGUCUAUAUCUACAUCACUGCAAAUCCCUAAAGACAGCUCCACUCUGAAACUAAAAGACUGCUGCCAAUCACAAUAGGAGCUACUUGUGAAAACAACUGCACUUGCUCUACUUUUCAUAUCGAAACGCAUGUUCGUAUUUUUUAGAUAAACACUGCGAGACAGCUUCAGAUGCCAAAUGACUGCUGACAGUGUGUCCAGUCCUGUAACUGUCACAUGUGUUUGCAUUCAUCUUGAUCUAUGACUGCACGGUCAUAUGUCUGUGCUGAUGGCUGGAAAUGAGCUCAGUAUGUGUUUGGUCUAAUGCCAGUCAUAUAUAACUGUGCUACAUCUGCCAUUUUGUAACUUAAUUCUGUUCUUUACCAUCUGCUAAGCACCCUUAGUUGAAUUGACCGUAUUAGUUGGAAGAGCAGGACCAAAACUACCUAUGUACCCACUUGAACUUUUAUACCGACAAUUAACUACUCGUUCCCAGAAACUUAUUCUUGGUUUCUGCUUUUAGCGUCUCUGAAAAAAGCGUUUACAUGGACCUAACGUGUCCAUACCUGAGCACACCAGAGGAGAGAUUCCUGGCUGUGCUGGGAGUCAUCGGCAUUGUGCUCAACCUCCUGCUGCUGGUCUUUGUCUAUAUAUACACCACCAUCUGACAUAGUGCUACACACAGCAGUACCGUCACCUUCAGUAUCCGAUAUGAGAUAACCUGCCACAUUUAACUGCACUUGUGCUUAAUAAUCAGGGUUCCUGCUGUUAUACUAUAUAUGGAGUAUGUUCUUCAACCACACCUUUAUACGUUAUUAACUGUGGUGUGCUGAAAAAAUGUGGUGAAAAGCAGGAGAAAAUUAGGGGCAAAGCAGAAUAACCGCAGCUCACAUUAUACUAUGGAUUAGAAAUACUUUAUAUGAAGUACUCUUUCACAUGUACGUUAUUAAAUGUAAGCUUGUGUUGCUAUGAUUUUUGUUAUGCUUUGACCAAAAUAACUAAAUAUCAGAUUCUUUACAGUAGUCGUGUUUGUUCUACAUGCUUAUCGAUGUUGAAAGACAUGGAACUAGAUGGUACUGAUGUUUCAUUUUGUGUAACGACUCAGCACAACAGAAAAGAUCUCUCUGUGGAGUGUUCGUGCCACAGAAUAAUGGUCUGUUUUCUAGUGUCGUGUUUUUGUGAUUGGAUCUGUAAGCCAGACAGUGAGCUGCAUCGGAAAGUCCAGCGCACGGAACAGAAACAGUGUCACAAAAAUCAAGACGGCGUACCAAUGCGAGAUGAUGCAGAAGGACAGAAACGAAGGAAAGAAAUCUGGCUGAACCAGUGUGGACUGUCUGGAAAAAGUGGAUAUAAAACCUCUGUUCAAGGCCUCGCCAGCUGUCUCGAAACCCAUAAAGGCACAAAAGUCUUCCAGGGAUUGGGUGUAUUCACUGGAGCAGCAUGUCACUAUGGAUAUGGUUUUAAGUUUAAGCACCAUGCCCGUAAUGGAGGAGCAUCCCUAAACUCAGCUGACAAGCGAACAGGAAGGACUGGCCUGAAUCUCCACUUCAUCCUUGUCAUUCUCUUCUCCACCAACAAGUUAACACCAGAAAAGACAUAGUGCAGAAUGGAUCCACAAAUUUCCACAAUAGAUUUCCACAUGGAGAUUCAACAUGUGCACAUAGAUGAAAAGAUUACAGAUUUACACAAGGGGUUGUGGGAAAGACAGAACCAAAAACUUGACUUGUUUUCCCAAAUGAGUGACCAGUAACUCUGGUGAUUUACAGCGACCUACUGCAGUUUUACAGUAGGUUCGCGAGAGUAAGUGUUGAAAUUUUGAUCAUCAUUGCAACGUAAGAGUCCUAGUCAUUCUGUUGUUGUAUGUUCUUAGUUUUAGUAUGAAUUUAUCAUUGAGUGUUUUGGGAUCUGACUGGUUUGCAACAUAUAUUUAUGUCAAAAGCACUACAUUUGGAAUUAUGUGGGACAAAACAAACAUCUACAGACUAGUGAUAGUGGUCUAUUUUCUUAAACUGAAGUUUUUUUUGGGAAAAAGUCUUGUUCCAAUACAGAUAUGCUUUGAAAACAACUCAACCAUUUGCCUGCUAGAACAAUUUUCUUAAUCAUAUUUAAAACAUAUUUAAAUAAUACUGUUAUGUGAAGAACUUGCCUUAGGGUUUAACCAUUCGUCAUAAUCAUAAUUCAUUACAUUUACCAGCUCCUAUUCUCUUUAUGCUUGAUCCAGAGCCCUCAUGUUUCUGUAUCCUAAACUCAAGUUUCAACAGUUACAGUUUAUUUUUGUAACUCAGGACAUUAGUUCUGUUGCUGAUGUUACUGCUCUACUUGUGCACACCCAAGGUUGUCCUAUAUACAGUAGUAGGAGAUUUUUAGUCACAUUAUGGAGCAUUUACUUUCACUUUAUGUCUUCAAAGGAAGUGGCUGCAAAUCCAAGCUUCAUACAACCUCACAGCUACUACAGCUGUUUGGUACUUUUGGUUUGAAAAGAAGAAAAAGACUCCAUGAUGUAAUGAACUUUUCUUAAACUCUCGAGUCUCCCCUAUGCUGAGAUCAAACCAGGAUAAAUGGCAUCAUUUUGCCCAGAUCUCCUCAGCCUGAAGACAUAAAGCAUACAUCUGUCCUCACAUAGAUAGCAGAAGAGCACACACAAACCACUUGCAUCUCUUUUCAUAAGUUUAAUUUUGCACCAUCUCUCAACAUUCAUCCAGAUAUUCCACUGUUAGCAUGCUGAGAUCGAUGUGACUUGCACAUUUACUAUCUGUCACAUCUUGUAACUGUAUAGUAGAGUUUGUUGAGCUAAAUCCAUUUUAAGUGUGCUCCAAAGCGCAGUAAAAGCCAUGUUUGGUUUCCCAGACAUAUGCUGUCAGACUGUCACAGCUGAAGCCACAGCUCUGCGGAGACACAUUUGAAUAUACUUUGAAAUACCCAAAGUACUGGAGUUAUUUUUGGUCCGUGUUGCAAUCUCUAAAAAAGGGUCACUUGAACUAUUAUGAAAAUGAUAAGCUCAGGUUUACUUUGAUAAAGGAAAUGGUUAAAGGCCAGCAAUAAUGUUAAUAUUUUUAGACUGAAACUCCUAAAAUUAAUGUAUUUUGUUUCAAUAUUUAAUCUUUCUAACUUGACCAGAUUAACAGUGCUUCUCAGAGUAAUUGUGUUAAUAAAUGGAAAAAACACUAAAUCAGCAAGAAUGUUUAUGAGCAGUUUAAUAUUUUGCCAAACAUUUUGGGUGAGUCAGUUCAUCCCCAUGGCUCCUGUACCUGGGGUAAACGUCAGUGGUUAUUCUGCAUGCCGUUCAACUUUUGAGCCAUGGCCAUUUUUAACAAAACAGACUCACUGCCGAGCAGACCAACCAGAGGAAAAAGCCUAAAGGGGGAGUCCUGGCCAUCUGGUGUCCUCACAGACGCCUAGAUAUCCCCUCAAUGUACUCACAGACGUACAACACACACAUACACACACACACACACUGAGCAUGGAAUUUAUUUAAACAGUUCCACAUAAAUGUCUCGUCUGUGAAAUGCAGUUUUUUUUUAAUGAUUUACUUUAAUGCAUGUUUUUUCAUUCUCCAAGGUAAAAAGCUAAUAUGUGCACACACGUUAUGUUAUGGAAAGAAACUUUAUUGCCACAGGAAAAACAGGUGCACCAGAGUCCACCUGGGACCGCACUCCUAACCACUGCCCCGAGCACAGGUGGUUAACACGCAACACCGAAAACAAUAGGACAAAGUUUAAGGCGACAUAGUGUUGAUUCUGGCUCCGGAGCAGAUGAACUCUUACUAUGAGUCAGUAAUGCUGUUAUGCUCAUCUGAAACAAAAUGAGACUUUUUUCAUGAUGAGCUGCAUUUAUUUUUGUCUUGAGGGGGUGAAUUUGACACAGAUGGUCUGAGGGAGAUUCAGAGAAAAUUAAGUGGACAAGAGGAUCCGAGACAUUCUUUAAUUAGAUUUUUGAGCAACAAAGAUGAAGAAUAUUUUUGAAAAAGAGAGAAAAAAAAUAAAUGCGUUUGAAUUUUGGCUACCGAGGUUUUCUGGAAAUUUGGAUAAAAAUUAGGCUAGGUUUUAUGUUUUCUGCAUGAUGACUGCAGUACAACUCCAUCCAAUGGAAAAAAGUUAGGUAUAUUAUCGUGCCUUUUGCAAGAUAUAAUGUAGAAAGGCAUUUCUUUAUAACUUGAAUUUUCGUGUAACUGCAGAUUAUUUUCUGACUCUGUGGUAUGAGUGAUGCAGGUAUAGAGGACCUGACAAAUGGUCCAUUACUGAAACUUUGAGUGACAUGCUGAUUUAGAUAUACUGACUAACAUUCCAGGUAGCUGCUACACUACUAAUAAAGCAAACUGUAGAUGUUAGAGAUGGGAAAUGAUGACAUCUACUGUGUCAGCAAGUUAAAUGUGAAAUAUAGAAAAGUGUCACAAUAUCAUGUCUAUAUGUGAUGAAAAUGGUGAAGACACAGUUUGUUACAAACCUUGAGAGUAACCAUUGAACAAACGCUGUGAGAUCUGGUGUACUUUCAUGUAAUGCUUAUAUAUGAAUAUAUAAUGUAAAGUUGUAAUGCAAAUAAAAGUGAAAACACCA